rnacentral:rRNA from 1 species
AGUGAACGCUGGCGGUAGGCCUAACACAUGCAAGUCGAACGGCAGCACAGUAAGAGCUUGCUCUUACGGGUGGCGAGUGGCGGACGGGUGAGGAAUACAUCGGAAUCUACUUUUUCGUGGGGGAUAACGUAGGGAAACUUACGCUAAUACCGCAUACGACCUACGGGUGAAAGCAGGGGAUCUUCGGACCUUGCGCGAUUGAAUGAGCCGAUGUCGGAUUAGCUAGUUGGCGGGGUAAAGGCCCACCAAGGCGACGAUCCGUAGCUGGUCUGAGAGGAUGAUCAGCCACACUGGAACUGAGACACGGUCCAGACGCCUACGGGAGGCGGCAGUGGGGAAUAUUGGACAAUGGGCGCAAGCCUGAUCCAGCCAUACCGCGUGGGUGAAGAAGGCCUUCGGGUUGUAAAGCCCUUUUGUUGGGAAAGAAAAGCAGCAGGUUAAUACCCCGCUGUUCUGACGGUACCCAAAGAAUAAGCACCGGCUAACUUCGUG